GCUUACGGCCAUACCACCCUGAGAACGCCCGAUCUCGUCUGAUCUCGGAAGCUAAGCAGGGUCGGGCCUGGUUAGUACUUGGAUGAGAGACCGCCUGGGAAUACCAGGUGCUGUAAGCU
ensembl:rRNA 5S_rRNA 5S ribosomal RNA